CUACGGGCCGCAGCAGUCGAGAAUAAUUCACAAUGGGGGCAACCCUGAUGGUGCAACGCCGCGUGGAGGAUGAAGGCCCUAGGGUCGUAAACUCCUGUCAUUUGAGAGUAAGACCUGGUCGUUAACAGCGGACAGGGUUGAUAGUAUCAAAAGAGGAAGGGACGGCUAACUUCGUGCCAGCAGCCGCGGUAAUACGAAGGUCCCGAGCGUUGUUCGGAAUCACUGGGCGUAAAGGGAGCGUAGGCGGUCUGGUAAGUCAGAUGUGAAAUCUCGGGGCUUAACCCCGAAACUGCAUCCGAUACUGCCUGACUUGAGUAAUGGAGGGGUAGCUGGAAUUCUCGGUGUAGCAGUGAAAUGCGUGGAUAUCGAGAGGAACACUCGUGGCGAAGGCGAGCUACUGGACAUUUACUGACGCUGAGGCUCGAAGGCCAGGGUAGCGAAAGGGAUUAGAUACCCGAGUAGUC
rnacentral:rRNA from 1 species